AGAGAGAGAGGUAGGUAGGGAGGGAUAGAUAGAUAGAUAGAUGGAUAGAUAGAUAGAUAGUCUGAACAGUUUGAUACAUAAUAUAUAUUCAGUUGUUUAACACGCGCAUCCAUGUUCAUUUUCAUGACCUGGAAGCGAGGCCGCGCGCAUUCAAGGUACUUAAAAAAUAUAUGUACAAGUUAAGCAGAGGCGACUUUGAGGAUUUCACCCGACAGACGGGUUUUCAUACGUGGAUAUUGGUGCGUGUCAACUGGAUAACGUGCCGCUCCGAGGAACUAGGCGCUCUAAGAGGACAAUGCAUGAGCUUGCGAUGGGAGGCUUUUCCUACAGAUCGUCGCACCUGCAGUACUCAUGAUGGAUGUCCGGGACGUGUUUGCAAGGCACAAGCCAAGUGUCAGCAUGGAGGACCUGGAGGCAGUACAAAAGGUUCAGUGCAGAGUUUGGCAACCAGGGCUGGUCAUGAAGAUACACAGAGAGAGUACUCCACUGGUACUGAAGAAAUACUGCACGAUAUGGUUGGUUGUUGUUCCUUGGAAGAAGUAGGAUUCGCCGCUGAUAAUACCUGUAAACAAACAAAUCCACCGGCGAGAAGUGCUUCAUAUGGUGCUUCUCUUUUUGU